UACAGAGACUGCAAGCGUUAUUCGGAUUCACUGGGCGUAAAGGGCGCGUAGGCGGCGGGGUAAGUCUGGUGUGAAAUCUCGGAGCUCAACUCCGAAAUUGCACUGGAUACUGCUCUGCUAGAGGGCUGGAGAGGAGAUCGGAAUUCACGGUGUAGCAGUGAAAUGCGUAGAUAUCGUGAGGAAGACCAGUGGCGAAGGCGGAUCUCUGGACAGCUCCUGACGCUGAGGCGCGAAGGCUAGGGGAGCAAACGGG
rnacentral:rRNA from 1 species